GAUGAACGCUAGCGGCAGGCCUAAUAGAUGUAAGUCGAACGGGAUCUGAGGGUAGCUUGCUACCCGAUUUGAGAGUGGCGCACGGGUGCGUAACGCGUGAGUAACCUACCCAUAUCAGGGGGAUAGCCCGAAGAAAUUCGGAUUAACACCGCAUAAUAAUACGCUAACACAUGUUAAUGUAUUUAAAUAUUUAUAGGAUAUGGAUGGGCUCGCGUGAAAUUAGCUAGUUGGUAAGGUAACGGCUUACCAAGGCGAGGAUGGCUAGGGGCUCUGAGAGGAGCAUCCCCCACACUGGUACUGCGACACGGACCAGACUGCUACGGGAGGCAGCAGUAAGGAAUAUUGGUCAAUGGGCGCAAGCCUGAACCAGCCAUGCCGCGUGCAGGAUGACUGCCCUAUGGGUUGUAAACUGCUUUUGUUAGGGAAUAAACCUACUUAUGUAUAAGUAGCUGAAUGUACCUAAAGAAUAAGGAUCGGCUAACUCCGUGCCAGCCGCCGCAGUAA
rnacentral:rRNA from 1 species